rnacentral:lncRNA from 1 species
AUUUGGGCCUCAAAUCACUUCAGUACAUCAUUUGAAGUUUUAGACAAUUUUGGUGCUAAUUACCUUUUGUGAAUUUUUUAAGUCUCAUAAGCCAUGUCUAUUGCUGGCUGCACCCCAUGGUAAUGCUAUAUUUUCUUGUAUCUAACAAGUUAUGUAUUUUUUUUCUAGAGAAACAUUUUCCAUGUAUUUUUUUCCAGAAAUUUACAUUUUAUAGUUCUUUUAUAACAAUUAUCUUAAGAUUUAAAAAAAAAAUCUCUUUCCUAUCUUGGCAUGGAUAUUUCCCCCAAAAAAAUUGAUUUGUAUUAUGGCUGAAAUAUUUUACUAUGCCUUUAAGGAAAAAAAAUCAGCUCAUUUUCUUUCGUAUCUGUGUUGGAAAAUACAGUACUACGGUAUAAAACCAAAUGCUUAAUGAAAUUUAACAGCCAAUGUAAUAGUAUUCCUUUAAGGCUAAAGCCAAAUCAUUAAUUUACCAAAAGCUCAAAAUAGUCAAAGCUAGGUAUUGAGCAAUCAAGGGCUGUUUAUAUGGUUUGUAGAGUAUAUUAACAGUUAUUUUAUAAAUGUUUACUGAUUUCAGGUUAUUUUAAAUGUUUUUAUUGGCAAUUCAUGGCUUCAGAAGGUCAGAAAAGAGAAAACAAUAAGACUUUCAUACCUGUUAAUAUUUCCAGUAAUAGACUUGGCCAAGGAGAAUAUAAGGAAAACAUAGCCUAUUCUCUCAUCACCCUGCACAUUGCCUUGGACAGUGUCACCACCCCAAUGGCUUCAGCUACCAUUGCAAUCUGUAUCUCCAGUUGAGAAUAUAAAAUCCACACAUUCAAUGCUUGCCCAAUAUUUGUACCUGCCUAUCCCUUAGUACCUCAGAUCUGGUAUACAUAAAAUAAAAAGGAACUCAGCAUCCUUCUCCCGAACCAUCUUUUUCUUCCUAUUUUUCCAAUCUCAGCAAAUAACAAUUGUCUCCUACACUGCCCACUUAUAACCAGUUGACAAGUCCUGUCUAUUUUACUUCCUAAAAAACGUCUUUAAUCUUUAUGCCUCUCCCAGAUUCCCAGUAUCACUAACUUAGUUCAUAUCACCAUCAUCUCCCUAGAUUGCUAUCACAGGAUCUUAAUUGGUCUCCCCUGCCUUCAUUUUUCACUCUAUAAUCAGAAUACUCUUUCUAAAUCAUGAUUCUGAUUUCCUUGGCCUAAAUCUUGCCAAUGGCUUCCUGUUUCCAUUAUGAUAAAGACCCUACUCCUUAAUAUAUUUUACAAGGCCCCUCUGGUUCUUGCAUGCUUCAUCUCUCUGUACUACUACUGUCCCUUUCCAACACAGCUUUACUGAAAUUUUUUUUUCAGUUCCUUGUGAGAGAUGUGCUUACUCACUUCCAGAACUCUGUACCUGCUUUAGCUUCUCUCUUUAACCCCACCCCCAAACUGACUAACAUAUCCACAACUUUAAGACCUUUAGACAUAAUGUCCCCCAGGAAAAUUUCUCUGAUUGUUAACUCCAGUUUGAUAUUUCGUGUGUUUUCAGAGAACCCAGCACUUCCCCUAUCAGCACUUAUCAUGCUAUAUUGUAAUAGCUUGUCAGUUUCUUCCUUUUUUAAAAAAGAUUUAUUCAUUUAUUUGAGAGAGAGGGCACCUGCACACACAUGCACAGGAGUGAGGAGGGGCAAAGGGAGAGGGAGAAAAGAAUCCCAAGCAGGCUUAGCACUGAGCAUGAGCCCAAGGCAGGGCUCUAUCCUUCCAACCCAAGAUCACUACCCUAGCGGAAACCAAGGGUCCACCACCCAACCUACCAAAGCCAACCAGGCACCCCUGGCAGCUUCUUCCUUUAGACAAUAGGCUCCACAAGGGCAGGGAACAUUUCUAUCUGGUUCAUAAAUUGCAUUGUCUAACACAAUGCCUGGCACAUAAUACAUGCUCAAAAUAUUUGGCAAAUUAAUAAAUCAACUUCAUUUAUUCACGUACUUCCUGUGGUGCAUUAACAAAAAUUUAGCAUUGGUUGUAUUUUAGAAUUCUUUCACUCCAAAAGUAUGCUUAUAGUGCAUAAAGAAAGUGAAUUGAUGUAUAUAUUAUCAUUUAUAAGGUUUAUUCACUUUUGAUGGAAGAAUAUUGCUAUUAUUUGCAUAUGCAGUAUUACUACUAUACACUUGCAUAUUUUUAGGAGACUAUGUAUUUUCAGUGUUGUACUUAGUGGAAUCACUAUUUCUUCAAAAGGAAUAUUUUAGAAUGCAUAUGGUCACUGAUGCUACCUAAAUUUCAUAUUUUUCCAGUAUUUUUCAAUAUGGACUUUUAUCUACUAAAUUUUAAUUUUUUAAAAAAAACUCAGAAGUUGUGAUCAGGAACUCUCAAGUAUCUAAGCUUGGGUAUUUCAGGCUGCAGAAUAAAUCCGCUCUAAAAUGUUUUAGUCGCCCAGAUCAUAUAUGUUAAAUAACAUGUAUAUAAAGUACUUUGUUACUUUUCCAAUAAAUAAUACUCUUUC